rnacentral:misc_RNA from 1 species
GAUGAAGAACGCAGCGAAAUGCGAUAAGUAAUGUGAAUUGCAGAAUUCAGUGAAUCAUCGAAUCUUUGAACGCACAUUGCGCCCCUUGGUAUUCCAUGGGGCAUGCCUGUUCGAGCGUCAUUUGUACCUUCAAGCUCUGCUUGGUGUUGGGUGUUUGUCUCGCCUCUGCGUGUAGCCUCGCCUCAAAACAAUUGGCAGCCGGCGUAUUGAUUUCGGAGCGCAGUACAUCUCGCGCUUUGCACUCAUAACGACGACGUCCAAAAGUACAUUUUUACACUCUUGACCUCGGAUCAGGUAGGGAUACCCGCUGAACUUAAGCAUAUCAAUAAGCGGAGGA